GAAAUGCGAUAAUUAAUGUGAAUUGCAGAAUUCAGUGAAUCAUCGAGUCUUUGAACGCACAUUGCGCCCCCUGGUAUUCCGGGGGGCAUGCCUGUCCGAGCGUCAUUGCUGCCCUCAAGCACGGCUUGUGUGUUGGGCUUCCGUCCCUGGCAACGGGGACGGGCCCAAAAGGCAGUGGCGGCACCAUGUCUGGUCCUCGAGCGUAUGGGGCUUUGUCACCCGCUCCCGUAGGUCCAGCUGGCAGCUAGCCUCGCAACCAAUCUUUUUAACCAGGUUGACCUCGAAUCAGGUAGGGAUACCCGCUGAACUUAAG
rnacentral:misc_RNA from 1 species